GAGCCCAGAGCCUGAAUCAGUGUGUGUGUUAGUGGAAGCGUCUGGAAAGGCGCGCGAUACAGGGUGACAGCCCCGUACACAAAAAUGCACAUAUUGUGAGCUCGAUGAGUAGGGCGGGACACGUGGUAUCCUGUCUGAAUAUGGGGGGACCAUCCUCCAAGGCUAAAUACUCCUGACUGACCGAUAGUGAACCAGUACCGUGAGGGAAAGGCGAAAAGAACCCCGGCGAGGGGAGUGAAAAAGAACCUGAAACCGUGUACGUACAAGCAGUGGGAGCCUCUUAAUGGGGUGACUGCGUACCUUUUGUAUAAUGGGUCAGCGACUUAUAUUCUGUAGCAAGGUUAACCGAAUAGGGGAGCCGAAGGGAAACCGAGUCUUAACUGGGCGUUAAGUUGCAGGGUAUAGACCCGAAACCCGGUGAUCUAGCCAUGGGCAGGUUGAAGGUUGGGUAACACUAACUGGAGGACCGAACCGACUAAUGUUGAAAAAUUAGCGGAUGACUUGUGGCUGGGGGUGAAAGGCCAAUCAAACCGGGAGAUAGCUGGUUCUCCCCGAAAGCUAUUUAGGUAGCGCCUCGUGAAUUCAUCUCCGGGGGUAGAGCACUGUUUCGGCAAGGGGGUCAUCCCGACUUACCAACCCGAUGCAAACUGCGAAUACCGGAGAAUGUUAUCACGGGAGACACACGGCGGGUGCUAACGUCCGUCGUGAAGAGGGAAACAACCCAGACCGCCAGCUAAGGUCCCAAAGUCAUGGUUAAGUGGGAAACGAUGUGGGAAGGCCCAGACAGCCAGGAUGUUGGCUUAGAAGCAGCCAUCAUUUAAAGAAAGCGUAAUAGCUCACUGGUCGAGUCGGCCUGCGCGGAAGAUGUAACGGGGCUAAACCAUG
rnacentral:rRNA from 1 species